CCAACAUGUACGUAAAAUAAAUAUAACAUGGAAUAAAAUAAGUAGUGCAAAAAAAAGGGGGGUAAGGUGUACAGUUCUGAGACGCUAUAUACGUAUAUAAAAAAAAUAAUAAAUGGUUUUAUAUACAGUGUGAUAUGCAGUGUGGGUUAUUGCACAUUAUUUGAAUAUUGCCCAAUAGUGGUGAUCAUAUUCAAUGAGUAAUAGAUAUUGGACAAUGAGAGUAAUGGUAUUGCACAUUAUGGGCAGAGGAAAAAU